rnacentral:rRNA from 1 species
ACUCAAAUGAAUUGACGGGGAGGCGCACAAGCAGUGGAGCGUGUGGUUUAAUUCGAUACAAAGCGAAAAACCUCACCAGGGUUUGACAUGUAGAUGCUAAUCCCGAGAAACCGGGACUCCUUCGAGGGUUCUACACAGAUGCUGCAUGGCUGUCGUCAGUUCGUGGCGUGAGCUGUACCGUUUAGUCGGGAAACGAACGCAACCCGCACCGUAUGUUAAAUAAUUCAUGCGGAACAGCCCCGCUUAUGCGGGGAGGAAGGCGCGGAUGAUGUCAAGUCAGCACGGCUCUUACACCCUGGGCAACACACACCCUACAAUGGCUAAAACAACGAGUUGCAAGCACGCAAGUGCAAGCUAACCUCUUAAAUUUAGCCUCAGUUCAGAUUGGGGUCUGCAACCCGACCCCAUGAAGUCGGAAUUGCUAGUAAUCGCGAAUCAGCAGGUCGCGGUGAAUACGUUCUCGCCUCUUGUACACACCGCCCGU